GCAAAAAAGUCCCCCCAUUUCUGAGAAAUCAACCCGCAGUCCGUUUUUAAGUGAUUAUCAGAGAAAACGUUUCGUUCUUGCAAAAGAGUACCUGUAGUUUGUGCGAUUCAACCCACCGUCCGAUCAGAUUUGCAAAGAAGAAAAAACAGACACGACCACACACACGGGCUCGCCUCCUCUCCCUCUCGCCCACGAAGUCCUCGCCGCCGCCACCACCCAUGCCGGCCACUUCCGGCGACCUCCGGCGACGCACAGCACGCUCCCGAGCUCCCCACGGUCCGCGCCUCCCUCCCCUCUGGACAGAUUCUCCGCUUCCGGCCUCUACCGCCCGCUCGCAACCCCACCCCCGUGGCUAGGGUUUCGGCCAAGGCUUCGCCGGCGCAUCUCCGGCGGCCCCAGAUGCAGAUGUAGCACCCCAUGGGAGUUCCCCAUCCACCACGGUGGCAGAUUCUUCAUGGAGAUGUGAUGCAAAAGAAGCACAAUGUUCAGUGAUGAUUAGGGUGAUGAUGUUUAUGCAUCUAGGGAACCAUGGAGAUUUUAACAUGUGAUAUUUCCUCAAGCAAACUAAGUUCUUUUGCAAUUUGCUGCUCAAGUUGUGGCUCUCCUGCAGGGCAAAUCUUCCCAACAAGAAGCAUAACAGAGGCCUCUCUUUCAAUGUCUGAAGAUUGGUUAUCUAAUAACUGGCCAUCAGAGGGAGAAAUUCAGCUCCAUAACCUCCAUGUAAAUACCAUCAUCUAUUUUCCCUCUUGCCCACUUCUGUUACGUAUUUACAUUUUUGUGUUGGCAUGUUCUAAAGAAGCUGCACCUUUUUUCCCCUUGUGAGUAAAUUGCCAGAAAUCUAAACUCAUGGGCAAAUGAACUGUUUGAUUCAGUGAUUUGCCAGAUCAACAACAGAAUAUUACUAAGUAGCUCAUGUCAUUAACUUUUUAAUAAUGAUGCACGUGAGAUAUACUCCAAGGUAUGCAGACAGGUAUUUUUGGUAGAAUAUGUAGUGGUAAAUCAACUCUCAUGCAUGCCCUUUUCUGUAUCAUGUGUCCUACUAUCGGUUAGAUAAUAGUAGACAUUGUCGACAUUGGCACCAUUGGGUUGUACGAUCUGAUUUCUAGAUUGGCCAUCAUCAAUGUUCGAUUGAACUGUGAGAAACAACCUUGACCCUCUAGGAGAGUACACUGACAAUCAAAUCUAGGAGGUAGUCUUGAUAUUCACAUGCUCAUUGCUUGUCAUUUCUCAAAUUACUAAACAAUCACUUAAAAAAUCUGUUUGUCUUGGCUCGAAGUAUGAAUCUGUUGCUCGUAAUUGUUUUUUAGUUCGAUAUGUCUUCACAUUCGUACAAUUCUAUGAACCUACGUGUUCCCAUUGAUACUUUGUAAAUCUUGUACUGGCUACUACGGCUUUGUGCAUUUCUCAAAUACAGAGGCCCUCCAAUCUUCUUAACUUAUCUAAUAAUGACUGAAAAUUGUUAUUCUACAUUUCAAGCAUCGGGUCACUAUCAGUUAGGAGUUGAAGUUCGGAGAAAGGGGCUAAAACAUGAUUCUCCAGCUCUGCUUUACUCGUACCAUAGAGUUCAUAUUCUGGUAGUUUUGGUGCUUCUGAAAUUGCUGAUAAAUUCCAAAUUGCCCUUGAAGUGGUAGAGAGUGGAGAGAACUGGUGUGUGGGCCAGUGUCAGCCCGUCUGUCUCAGUUGGGUGAUUCUGAGACGGACCAAGAUACUGGUUCUGCCACUGCUUCGGUGGACUUGCAACCUCUUGCAACAGAUAACCUGAUACCGGACACACCACAACAGCAUUACUCAGGGGUGAUUGGCAUGACGAUCGUGCAUCGAAUCACCUUGGUCCUUCAGAGCGAAAUACUCUAGCUUCCUGACUAUGGUGGUACAGUCUGGGGAACGAUUUUCUGUACAAGAGGAGAUCAAAAAAAGGCAUUGCUUAUUGUACAUUAGAUUCUACAGGCAGGGGACCUUCAGCUUUGUAGUACUCCUGCUGUUUCAUGAAGCUUCAGAUUAUAUUACUACAUUUUCCCUUGAUUGUAAGAAAAUCAAGCAUACACUAAUAAAAUUAAGCAUAUAAUACAUAGUAAUUUAAUCUGAAGCUUCAUCAAACACUGGCAACAAUACGUAGUCUCUCCAAGGCCUAUAUAGGUAUGUUUAUCUUGCUGUUUCAGGUUAGAAUAAUGAUUUUAAGCCAUGUAGAUAACCUUCAACUAGCAAUGCCAAUCAUAUAACCCUUGAGCAUGUGACAGAGUUUUCACCCUCACCAUGUCCAGUGACGUUGCUAGCAGGAGUAAGAUGUUUGGGUUGGCGGAGUCGGCGGCCGGUAGUAAAGCAAGGGUGUUGUGUUACAAAUUUUUCAUCAAGAAAUUCGCAUAGGAAUAUAUUUUUUCCUUCAAUAAUGACCCUUUAUAUUUUUAGUACUUUCAAUAUUGUUUCGCUCAAAUAAAAGUAUGUUUUGGUACUUACAAAAUUGUAUCCUUGUGAAGAAGUAGUUGCUUUUUUACUUACAUUGAGAGAAGGUUCAUCUUCAGUGUAUAUAAAUUCCAUGUCCUUUGCAAUAUUUGGCUGCCUUGAAUGAUGCACAUGCUGACCUUCUAUCUUUGUAUGUUGGGUGGAGUCAAGCCCCUACAUGCAGUAGAAGAAUCAAUUUAAGGGUUGUGGUUCAGAGUUUUUCCAUGUAUGUUGGUGAAGUCAUGCAAGUGAAGCACCUCAUUGUCCCCUAUAUUUUUUUUGACUUGUUUGUCUAUGUAUGUUGGGUGAAGUCAUGCAAGUGAAGUGAUAUAUUUUCCGAUUUGUUUGUCUAUGUAUGUUGAGUGAAGUCAGUGAAGAAGUUCAUUUUGUUCGUCCUUUAGAAAUUUAUUUUGUUUUGUUUCUGAUUAACAGGUAAUACUGUCCAGUUUAGAGUGCCUCCUAAAAGUUUGUGUUUACUUUACCGUUUCUUCAUGAUGAAUUUACAAUACACGACGAUCGAAUAACUGCCCUGUAGCUACUAGAAUUUUUUGAAUUGCUAUGAUAGAUUUUACUGUACUGUAGUACUCAAAGAAGUCUACUUGUUUUUGUUUUCGUAGUAAAUUAUAGUUAAUUGAUGACUAACCUAAUGAUGGAUUUAGUGUCCUGUAGCUUCUAUAAUUUACAGCACUAUAAUUUUUUUGAUUGUUUGAAUUUACAGUGACCUCCUGCUUGAAUUUACACUACCCUGUUCGAAGAUUUACAAUCCUAUAACUUCUGUAAUUUACAGCAGUACCAUAAAGGUUGUGAUUGUUGUAUUUUACAGUGACCUGGUAUAGAUUUUACAGUAUACAGUUACCUUAAUUUACAGUGCUACAUUUUUCUGAACUAUUGGUGUUCUAGACAUGUUUUGAUGAUGCUCUUAGGUGUUGAUCUUCUUGUACUGGAAGAACUAUUUGGAGGAGAUUGCGAGAGUACUGACCUGCAGUUUGUCUUCAUGGUGUGACUGUAGUUUCCUGAUUGUGUAGCUAUUCUGUCCCCUUCUUCCUCCAUCCUCUUUCUCGUUCUUAUCUGAUCAUAAAGCACACAUUGUUACUGGUUGUUUCUCCUUAUUUUUACGGAAGUUCCAGUAUCUUUGUUGUGAUCUGGUUGUUACUGACUGGAAUUUUAGUAAAACGAACACUGUAAAAUUCAUCAAAGCUCGAUACACUUUUAAAGUUACUGUUUAUCAUAGUGAGUUGACUGUAAAUUUCAGUCGAGAAAACUGUAUUUGAAGCUUCAUGACGAUGAAAUAUUUAGUAUGUGAUUAGUUCAUAAUGUGUUGAUCAUUGUACAGCAGGUUGAUGAUGAUUUUAUGGCAGCCGAAUGAUGAAUUA